UACGGAGGGUGCAAGCGUUAUCCGGAUUCACUGGGUUUAAAGGGUGCGUAGGAGGGCAGGUAAGUCAGUGGUGAAAUCUCCAAGCUUAACUUGGAAACUGCCGUUGAUACUAUCUGUCUUGAAUACCGUGGAGAUGAGCGGAAUAUGUCAUGUAGCGGUGAAAUGCGUAGAUAUCUGGAGGAACACCGGUGGCGAAGGCGGCGUUCUGGACUGCAACUGACACUGAGGAACGAAAGCCAGGGGAGCAAACGGG
rnacentral:rRNA from 1 species